rnacentral:ncRNA from 2 species
GAAUAUACCGCAGGCAAAGGUCGUUGGCGGCCCGGAUGCCCCAACGACAAGGGGGGAAGCCCGGUGAAAGGCCGGCACUGCCCCGCAACUGUAUUCUCGGCGCAUAGCCGAGAGAGUCAGGUUACCCGCCUUUGCCGCUCCGGGGCU